AGCGGUGGACACAGCCGGCAGGGCAAAUUGGGAGCGGAGGGAUCGGCGGUCCGCGCGCAGGAUCUGCUGGGAGUUGUAGUCCGUAUCCUGCCUUGGAGCCGGUUGCGCCGCCCUUUCUUGGUGGCUCUUUGGUUUGGGCCCUGCUGGGCUGCCAGUUGCGAGGCGGCCCCGUUCAUCUUAGGGAGAAGCCUCUUCUGCCCGGCCAACCCACGGGCCUGGGUUUGUCCCUGCCCCGGGACGCCAAACACAGUCUGGUCGAGAAUUGCCCCUUGAGUUAGGAGAUGGAGGAGGGACCUGAAAAAAGUGGUCUCUCGACAGCGAGGGCGGGGGAGGGCCUCGUCGGACUCUCAGUGUCUCCAGCGCCUAGUGAGUGGUCUUUUGAAUGACUGAAGGGUUGGUGAGGCAAGGUUUAUUGGGGGAUACCUGUCCAUCUCUUCUUGAUCGCUAAACGAGGCUUGACCUGGGCUGAAAGAAAUGCAGUAAGGGGCCACUUUCUCAGCUUCCUGGGAGCUGGGACCCUGGAACCCAGUAAAGACUGUUAUUCCAGACUUAGGAAUGGCCUGAGCACAAGCCUGAAGGCAUGGAGCUGGUCUCGAGGCUUACCCUUCCGCUUCACCAAAAACACCUUCUCCGAGAAGAGCCAGAGUGAUCAUUUGAGAAGAUCAUCCAGACUUGAACUGAGGGGCAUUGCUGGCUUGAAAAUGAUCCAAGAACAGAAGAAACACCUCUCAAAGGUCAUCCACCAAACAAACAAAAACUGAGAAACACUAUCUGUUGUUGUUUUCUCCUCAGGAGUGAAUCUGGGCUCUAACUUUGGAUUUUCAGGGGACAUCCUUUCUAGAUUCCCAGCUCCAUCUUCCUCAAACCUCUUCCCAUAUUCCUGCUCUCUUUUAAAAUUUCAUUUUCUGGGACUUCCCUGGUGGUGCAGUGGUUAAGAAUCCGCCUGCCAACGCAGGGGACACGGGUUCGAACCCUGGUCCGGGAAGAUCCCACAUGCCGUGGAGCAACUAAGCCCCCGUGCGCCACAGCUACUGAGCCUGCGCUCUAGAGCCCACGAGCCGCAACUACUGAAGCCCGCAGGCCUAGAGCCCAUGCUCCGCAACAAGAGAAGCCACUGCAGUGAGAAGCCUGCGCACCGGCACGAAGAGCAGCCCCCACUUGAUGCAACUAGAGAAAGCCCACACACAACGAAGACCCAAC